rnacentral:tRNA from 1 species
GCUGCAGCCCGUAGCCGGUCGGACUCGGGACCCGUCAGGUCGUCGGUUCGAACCCGACCCGCCCCA